GGCUUGUUGAUUAUAAUUUCAAGUYGUACCUGCCCAAUGAGGAUUAUUAAAUGGCCGCGGUAUUUUGACUGUGCAAAGGUAGCAUAAUCAUUAGUUUUUUAAUUGAAAGCUGGAAUGAAAGGUUUGAUGAGAAAUGUUCUGUCUCUAGAAAAAUUUAUUAGAAUUUUAUUUUUAAGUUAAAAAGCUUAAAUGUGUAUAGAAGACGAGAAGACCCUAUAGAGUUUUACAUUUUUAAAAGGUUGGGUUUUUUUUGUAAAUGAAGGUUCAGGUUUUUAUGGAUGUUUAGUUGGGGUGACAGAAAAAUUUAAUUAACUUUUUUUUUAUUUAUACAUUUAUUUAUGAGUGGUUGAUCCUGAAGUUUAGAUUAUAAGAUUAAAUUACCUUAGGGAUAACAGCGUAAUUUUUUUAAGAGUUCUUAUCGGAAAAAAAGAUUGCGACCUCGAUGUUGGAUUAAGAUUAAUUUCCGGAGCAGAAGCUGGCGAGAUUAGGUCUGUUCGACCUUUAAAAUCUUACAUGAUCUGAGUUUAAACCGGCGUGAG
rnacentral:rRNA from 1 species